rnacentral:rRNA from 1 species
UACGUAGGGGGCAAGCGUUGUCCGGAAUUAUUGGGCGUAAAGAGCUCGUAGGCGGCUUGUCACGUCGGAUGUGAAAGCCCGAGGCUUAACCUCGGGUCUGCAUUCGAUACGGGCUAGCUAGAGUGUGGUAGGGGAGAUCGGAAUUCCUGGUGUAGCGGUGAAAUGCGCAGAUAUCAGGAGGAACACCGGUGGCGAAGGCGGAUCUCUGGGCCAUUACUGACGCUGAGGAGCGAAAGCGUGGGGAGCGAACAGG